CUUGCGGCACACAAAGAAUUUUACGAGCCAUUAGAUCACUUGAGUUAUGAUAGUCUAUGAUUGGCGCGUGCUAAACAUGAAAGGAUUAGUGGUGUUAGUCAGGCCCCAUUUUUGCUCUCAGUCACCGACGUUCAUGUCUUCCCCGUGAAUUGAGCAGUUAUCAGUGGUGGAUGGCCUAUACCUUUUCCCUUUUUAUAUGAAGA
rnacentral:lncRNA from 1 species